GUGCUUGCUUUGGCAACAUAUUAACUAAAAGUGAAAUGAUGCAAGGAUUAACUUGGCCCCUGCCCAAGGAUAGCCCAAAAAUUCAUGAAUCAUUCCAUCUUUUU
ensembl:snRNA U6 U6 spliceosomal RNA